rnacentral:rRNA from 1 species
AUUGAACGCUGGCGGCAGGCCUAACACAUGCAAGUCGAACGAGUGGCGGACGGGUGAGUAAUGUCUGGGAAACUGCCCGAUGGAGGGGGAUAACUACUGGAAACGGUAGCUAAUACCGCAUACUAUCAGAUGAGCCUAGAUCGGAUUAGCUAGUUGGUGGGGUAAAGGCUUACCAAGGCGACGAUCCGUAGCUGGUCUGAGAGGAUGAUCAGUCACACUGGAACUGAGACACGGUCCAGACUCCUACGGGAGGCAGCAGUGGGGAAUUUUGGACAAUGGGCGCAAGCCUGAUGCAGCCAUGCCGCGUGUAUGAAGAAGGCCUUCGGGUUGUAAAGUACUUUCAGCGGUGAGGCGUUACCCGCAGAAGAAGCACCGGCUAACUCCGUGCCAGCAGCCGCGGUAAUUC